AUGCAGUGCAGCUCGCGGAGCUGCACUGAAGCGCCGCUCGCCGCCGACGGAGUUGCAAUGGACUGCCGCUCGGCGCCGGUGAUGCAGUGCAGCUCGUGGAGCUGCACUGAAGCGCCGCUCGCCGCCGACGGAGUUGCAAUGGAGUGCCGCUCGCCGCCGGUGAUCGAGUGUGGCACGCGGAGCUGCACUGAAGCGCCGCUCGCCGCCGACGGAGUUGCAAUGGAGUGCCGCUCGCCGUCGGUGAUGCAGUGCCGCACGCGGAGCUGCACUGACGCGCUGAUCGCCGCCGACGGAGUUGCAAUGGAGUGCCGCUCGCCGCCGGUGAUGCAGUGCAGCACGCGGAGCUGCACUGACGCGCCGCUCGCCGCCGAUUUGCGGCCACAGGUGGGGAUCUAUUCGCGUGUGGGGGCGUCUUGUUUCAUUGCAAUGCAGUGA
rnacentral:rRNA from 1 species